rnacentral:rRNA from 1 species
CCGAAUGGGGAAACCCAGUGUGAUUCGUCACACUAUCAUUAACUGAAUCCAUAGGUUAAUGAGGCGAACCGGGGGAACUGAAACAUCUAAGUACCCCGAGGAAAAGAAAUCAACCGAGAUUCCCCCAGUAGCGGCGAGCGAACGGGGAGGAGCCCAGAGCCUGAAUCAGCAUGUGUGUUAGUGGAAGCGUCUGGAAAGGCGCGCGAUACAGGGUGACAGCCCCGUACACAAAAGCGCAUGUGCUGUGAGCUCGAUGAGUAGGGCGGGACACGUGGUAUCCUGUCUGAAUAUGGGGGGACCAUCCUCCAAGGCUAAAUACUCCUGACUGACCGAUAGUGAACCAGUACCGUGAGGGAAAGGCGAAAAGAACCCCGGCGAGGGGAGUGAAAAAGAACCUGAAACCGUGUACGUACAAGCAGUGGGAGCCCCACCACUAAGCCAGUGGUGAACUCCACAUACGCAUCCUUUGCUGAGGAUACGGUUAACGGAGCGAAAGCGACGUUCAACCUCAAAAGAAGCAGAGGGGGCUUAGUGGUGGGGUGACUGCGUACCUUUUGUAUAAUGGGUCAGCGACUUAUAUUCUGUAGCAAGGUUAACCGUAUAGGGGAGCCGUAGGGAAACCGAGUCUUAACCGGGCGUUAAGUUGCAGGGUAUAGACCCGAAACCCGGUGAUCUAGCCAUGGGCAGGUUGAAGGUUGGGUAACACUAACUGGAGGACCGAACCGACUAAUGUUGAAAAAUUAGCGGAUGACCUGUGGCUGGGGGUGAAAGGCCAAUCAAACCGGGAGAUAGCUGGUUCUCCCCGAAAGCUAUUUAGGUAGCGCCUCGUGAAUUCAUCUCCGGGGGUAGAGCACUGUUUCGGCUAGGGGGCCAUCCCGGCUUACCAACCCGAUGCAAACUGCGAAUACCGGAGAAUGUUAUCACGGGAGACACACGGCGGGUGCUAACGUCCGUCGUGAAGAGGGAAACAACCCAGACCGCCAGCUAAGGUCCCAAAGUCAUGGUUAAGUGGGAAACGAUGUGGGAAGGCCCAGACAGCCAGGAUGUUGGCUUAGAAGCAGCCAUCAUUUAAAGAAAGCGUAAUAGCUCACUGGUCGAGUCGGCCUGCGCGGAAGAUGUAACGGGGCUAAACCAUGCACCGAAGCUGCGGCAGCGACGCUGAUGCGUUGUUGGGUAGGGGAGCGUUCUGUAAGCCUGCGAAGGUGGCCUGUGAGGGUUGCUGGAGGUAUCAGAAGUGCGAAUGCUGACAUAAGUAACGAUAAAGCGGGUGAAAAGCCCGCUCGCCGGAAGACCAA